AACGGACGCUGGCGGCAUGCCUAACACAUGCAAGUCGAACGAGAUCUUCGGGUCUAGUGGCGCACGGGUGCGUAACGCGUGGGAAUCUGCCCUUUGGUUCGGAAUAACAGUUGGAAACGACUGCUAAUACCGGAUGAUGACGAAAGUCCAAAGAUUUAUCGCCAGAGGAUGAGCCCGCGUAGGAUUAGCUAGUUGGUGUGGUAAAGGCGCACCAAGGCGACGAUCCUUAGCUGGUCUGAGAGGAUGAUCAGCCACACUGGGACUGAGACACGGCCCAGACUCCUACGGGAGGCAGCAGUGGGGAAUAUUGGACAAUGGGCGAAAGCCUGAUCCAGCAAUGCCGCGUGAGUGAUGAAGGCCUUAGGGUUGUAAAGCUCUUUUACCCGGGAUGGUAAUGACAGUACCGGGAGAAUAAGCUCCGGCUAACUCCGUGCCAGCAGCCGCCGUAA
rnacentral:rRNA from 1 species